GUGUUGAGUUGGGGGUGGAGCCCGUCUGUGAGAGAGAUCACUUUGAUUGGCGGUUCAGCGAAACCAAGACAGUGUGUGUGUGCACAGUACAAAGCUUACAGCACCACAGCAAAACCUGGAAUACUUCAGGACAUGUGUGUGUGUGUGUCUGUGUGUGUGGCUGUGUGUGUGUGUGUGUCUCUGUGUGUGUGUGUGUGUGUGUGUGGCUGUAGGCUGUGUGUUCUUGUACCAGAUGAAGGUUGUGUUGCCUUCCAUAUUGCAGUAGGCGUUGCAGGUCAGUGUCACAUUGUGUCCCUGUAUGACUGUAUCAGGCGUCAUUAACAUCUGCAGAUCAGAAGAAGAAAAGUGUACCAAACAACACUGACUGUUUACACCUGGCCUUAAAAUGCAUUUUGGGUGAUCGCCUUGCAUCUAAUGGUGCUUGACCACAUACAGUACAGGUAUAAAGACCACAUGACAGUACAGGUAUAAAGACCACAUGGCAGUACAGGUGUAAAGACCACAUGACAGUACAGGUGUAAAGACCACAUGACAGUACAGGUGUAAAGAACACAUGACAGUACAGGUGUAAAGACGUCAUGACGACGGAUUGUGAUCUUUUAUUUUUGUUAUUUGUUGUUUUUUUGGACCCUCACAAACGAGAGAUGCAUACACAAGCCGUUAUGGAAACUAUACUAUUGUAAUCACACACACACACACACACACACACACACACACACACACACACACACACACACACACACACACACACACACACACACACACACUCACACACACACACACACACACACACACACACACACACACACACACACACACACACACACACACACACACACACACACACACACACACACAAACAG
ensembl:lncRNA